rnacentral:rRNA from 1 species
UGGGGAAUAUUGGACAAUGGGCGGAAGCCUGAUCCAGCAAUGCCGCGUGUGUGAAGAAGGCCUUCGGGUUGUAAAGCACUUUCAGUGGGGAGGAAGGGGCGCAUGCUAAUAUCAUGCGUCAUUGACGUUACCCACAGAAGAAGCACCGGCUAACUCUGUGCCAGCAGCCGCGGUAAUACAGAGGGUGCAAGCGUUAAUCGGAAUUACUGGGCGUAAAGCGUGUGUAGGUGGUUGGAUAAGUUAGAUGUGAAAUCCCCGGGCUUAACCUGGGAACUGCGUUUAAGACUGUUUAACUAGAGUACUGUAGAGGAUAGUGGAAUUUCCAGUGUAGCGGUGAAAUGCGUAGAUAUUGGAAGGAACACCAGUGGCGAAGGCGACUAUCUGGAUAGAUACUGACACUGAGACACGAAAGCGUGGGGAGCAAACAGG